UCUUCAAUACGAGCAAUAGUAUUCACAGCCGAUUUUUUGAGAGAACUCUGGCGUUUCUUGUCGUCUGCUGUGGCCAUUCCGUGCACUUCUUUCUGAGAGCUGUGCCCUUCCCUCCUAUCUGGACCUGAGCCUGAAGCUUGGCUAAUUUUUCUUAUUUAAAGCUUGGUAGUUCUGAAGCCCAGGGGUUGGGGUGGGGGUGGGGUCUCCAACAGCCACACGUGGCGGAAGCAAAAUGGCGGUCGUAGCAGAAGCAGAGAAGGACUACUACAGGAGAUUUUUGAGCAGAGGAGUGGCAUAGCCAGACUUGUGCCUUAGCAGUAGUAAUUUGGUUGCUGUACAGGGAAUCCACUGGAGAAAGGAUGAAAGGUUAAGAAAUCUAUUGUUACAAACAAAUUUAGUUACCCAGGAUAAGAAUCAAAUCAGUAAAUCAAGGAUGGAAGCAGGAACUUUGCAGCAAAUAUCUGUAAUAUUCGAUACAAAGAGAAGGGAUUGGCACGUCUUCACAUGGAUGCAGGAGUCAGGAAUGGAGAAUUCUGUUCUGCAUCUGAUUCUUUUUUUUCAAUGCUAAAAUAAUCAAUACGCUUAUUUUUAUAUGUCACAAUACAAAUAUAAGCUGCAUUUCUGCCCCACUCUUCCUUUUUAAAUUGUUUCUUUGACAGGAAGUGGGAAGUCUUCUUACAUGUUUGGAAACCACCUCUGGGGCAGUUAGCAAAAAACAAAACACAAAAACUGGCAAGCUAUCAACAAUCAUGACAGAAUGCUCCAACUCUCUAAAAAGAGAAAUGCAAAUUAAAACCCUGAAGCUUUACACAAUUUUGAGAAAGAUGACAUGAGGAAAAUGGUCAGUGUUGGAGGGACUGUGGAAAGAUAGGCACACCAAUGAACUUUUGGUGGAGCUAUGAAUAUGACAAUUCUGAAAAAUGAUUUGGAAUUACUCUAAAAAGUCACUAAAACACACAUCUUUGACUCAGUGAUAUCACUAUUGGCAUAUAAUCCAAGAAGGGCGAAGAUAGUGGGAAAGGUCCCAUAUAUACAAAAAUGUCAAUAGUAGCACUUUUUAUAGUAGCAAAGAACUGCAAACCAACAAUACCCACCAAUUGAGAAACCGACCAACUGGAAGAGGG
rnacentral:lncRNA from 1 species